CCUGGAUUUGGCUGACACUUCGAUAACUCAGCCCUGAAACCUGCAGUCAGUCCUCCCACGGCUAAAUUGGGAAGUGCAUCAUUUCUGGAUGCUUGCAGAAGUCUUUCCAUAUGGCUGGAAGAUGACAUGGAAAGCCCGGAUGCUAGUGAUGGCCUACGAACGUGAGGACCCACCAGCUCUGCUGCCCACAAGAGCACAGAGUACAACAGAAGUUCCCGUGGAUGACCUGCCAGCCCCAGAAAGCACAAUUCAAGCCCAGGAAGAUCAAAAUUCCACACCCCUAAGGAUUGCUUUAGAAAUUCUUAAAGUUAUACUUUGACAGAGAACAGAGGUCACUUGCUGUAUUUCAAAAAUGGUACCGACAAGUAAUUGCCAUAAUCAGUAUAGACAGUCAGAACUUGAGCGGUAAGGAGGAGUCCUCUGGAUACACAAAUAAGGAGUCAUUGGAAAAGACUCUGAUGCUUAAGGCAAGAAGAGACGUUACAAUGUUACCUAUGAAAAAGAGGGAGUUUGCUUAAAAUUUUAUAUACACACACGUGUAUAUGUAUAAACACACGUUCCACACAGAAGAAGACAAAGGAAAAAGACUGGAAGGCUACACGUGUAAUCACCAAAGCUAUGUCAUCAGUGAUUAUCUGGAGGGGGCC